AAUGGGGGCAACCCUGAUCCAGCAACGCCGCGUGGGGGAUGAAGGUCUUCGGAUCGUAAACCCCUGUUAAGAGGGACGAAGGCUUACGGGCGAACAGUCCGGAAGCUUGACGGUACCUCUAGAGGAAGCCCCGGCUAACUCUGUGCCAGCAGCCGCGGUAAUACAGAGGGGGCAAGCGUUAUUCGGAAUUAUUGGGCGUAAAGGGCGCGUAGGCGGCUGGGCAAGUCCAAGGUGAAAUCCCUCGGCUCAACCGAGGAACUGCCUUGGAAACUGCCCGGCUCGAGGCCGGGAGAGGGUAGUGGAAUUCCCAGUGUAGCGGUGAAAUGCGUAGAUAUUGGGAGGAACACCGGUGGCGAAGGCGGCUACCUGGACCGGUUCUGACGCUGAGGCGCGAAAGCGUGGGGAGCAAA
rnacentral:rRNA from 1 species